AUUGAACGCUGGCGGCAGGCUUAACACAUGCAAGUCGAGCGGGGUGAUGGUGCUUGCACUAUCACUUAGCGGCGGACGGGUGAGUAAUGCUUAGGAAUCUGCCUAUUAGUGGGGGACAACAUCGCGAAAGGGAUGCUAAUACCGCAUACGUCCUACGGGAGAAAGCAGGGGAUCACUUGUGACCUUGCGCUAAUAGAUGAGCCUAAGUCGGAUUAGCUAGUUGGUGGGGUAAAGGCCUCCCAAGGCGACAAUCCGUAGCGGGUCUGAGAAGAUGAUCCGCCACACUGGGACUGAGACACGGCCCAGACUCCGACGGGAGGCAGCAGUGGGGAAUAUUGGACAAUGGGGGGAACCCUGAUCCAGCCAUGCCGCGUGUGUGAAGAAGGCCUUAUGGUUGUAAAGCACUUUAAGCGAGGAGGAGGCUCUUUUGGUUAAUACCCAAGAUGAGUGGACGUUACUCGCAGAAUAAGCACCGGCUAACUCUGUGCCAGCCGCCGCCGUAA
rnacentral:rRNA from 1 species